rnacentral:rRNA from 1 species
UGCAGUCGAACGCUUUUUCUUUCACCGGAGCUUGCUCCACCGAAAGAAAAAGAGUGGCGAACGGGUGAGUAACACGUGGGUAACCUGCCCAUCAGAAGGGGAUAACACUUGGAAACAGGUGCUAAUACCGUAUAACACUAUUUUCCGCAUGGAAGAAAGUUGAAAGGCGCUUUUGCGUCACUGAUGGAUGGACCCGCGGUGCAUUAGCUAGUUGGUGAGGUAACGGCUCACCAAGGCAACGAUGCAUAGCCGACCUGAGAGGGUGAUCGGCCACACUGGGACUGAGACACGGCCCAGACUCCUACGGGAGGCAGCAGUAGGGAAUCUUCGGCAAUGGACGAAAGUCUGACCGAGCAACGCCGCGUGAGUGAAGAAGGUUUUCGGAUCGUAAAACUCUGUUGUUAGAGAAGAACAAGGAUGAGAGUAGAACGUUCAUCCCUUGACGGUAUCUAACCAGAAAGCCACGGCUAACUACGUGCCAGCAGCCGCGGUAAUACGUAGGUGGCAAGCGUUGUCCGGAUUUAUUGGGCGUAAAGCGAGCGCAGGCGGUUUCUUAAGUCUGAUGUGAAAGCCCCCGGCUCAACCGGGGAGGGUCAUUGGAAACUGGGAGACUUGAGUGCAGAAGAGGAGAGUGGAAUUCCAUGUGUAGCGGUGAAAUGCGUAGAUAUAUGGAGGAACACCAGUGGCGAAGGCGGCUCUCUGGUCUGUAACUGACGCUGAGGCUCGAAAGCGU